GAAGUGAAAUAAAUUUUUACUCGAGCUCAAUAGCUUAUGUGACUUUAGUUUUACGAAAUCUGUGUAAUUAAGAUUUAUUUUCUAGACUAAAAUAAAUUUUUCAUCAAUAAAAUGUUUGUAUGGUGCUUUCAAUUAUGACUUAGAGAUUGCUGGUUAACGGACACGCUUAACAGUAAAGUGGAAGGGGAGUAUGACGAAGGAAAAGUUGUGGACAGACGAGAGCAGGUCGCUAUAUUCACACUCGCCGAGUUUUGUAACGGUUGCUCGCGGAAAUACACGACACUCGUAGCGAUGCAUCUAAGAUUCAUAAAACCAUAUGAAUAGGUUUUACUUACCGGGAACCAAACGUGCAUCGGUAGCUACAAGAGAUAAAGCUAAGGAUAGCAGGAUUCCCAGGAAUAACUUUAUGCUUUCGUUAGUGAUCGGUAUAACAAUUGCAACUGGAACUAUGUUUGUCCAGUUAUAUCCAAGAAGCAGGAAGUGAAAUAUAUUAGUGCUUAAGCGUAAUGGCUUAUGUGACUUUAGUUUUAAGAAAUCUGUUUAAUUCGGAACUAAUUUCUAUAUUAAAAUCAUUUUGAAUUAAAAAUUGGGUUGCAUAUUAGAUUUUUAUUUUACAGAUUCAUCUUAGAAUCAUAAAACCAUAGGAAUAGAAUCCUACGAAUCCCUUCCUUCAUUUUCGGGAACCAAACGAGCAUCGGUGGCUACAAGGGAUAAAGCUAAAGAUAGCAGGACACCCAGG